CACACUUAGGUGUGUGUUCUGGUCGUGAAUUCCACAGGAGCCAAAGGAGUUCUUGAGCUCAAACCCUAACUAACACAAAUCAAUCAAAUUGAAAGGGCAAAUCAAGUUUAAAUCGAAAACCAAGUUGAAAUUAGUGAUCACUCAAGUGAACGGAUCACAAGGGGAAUUGAAUCUUCAAGCGGACAAGCCGGAGCGGACGCGCGCUUGAAGGAAAAGCUUUGAAGGUGAUCGUAGUAAGCAUUCGGAUGAUGAUCAAGCAAUGAACAAGAACCGAACACAUGUCCGAACAAAGCUUCCGUGUUGAUCUAUUUUGUUUUAGUUAAAAGUGAACCUUGUAAACACUUAGCACUAUAUUUUGAAUGUUUCAAACAUGUGUGAAUUUUAACUUGACAAAGUUUUUUGUAAAGUCGCAUUUUAGUAUAAAAUGCGUAUUUAAUGUUAUAAUCAUGUUAAUUUA